GACUUCUUCAAACACAAACCCUUGAACGUAGUUGUCGAGAAAACCACGUCCAUUAGAGAACAAAGUGGACUUCUGGUUAUUAGAAUCCUCCUUGCACACUUCAGAGAAGAUGAAGGUGGACUUCUUAAGGUUUGCAGAUCUUGGUUGCAGCAUUCUCAAAACAGGUGGCCGCCCAACCAUCCGAGGCUCGAGCUACCAUCUCAGACGCGGAGUGGAUCCUUCUGGAAGUCGUCUCGGUGUGUGGUCAGAUCACAUGAGAGCUUCCCUGGUCCAGGUACUUUGAAUGACAUACAGCUGUCUCCGUGUGAUUUAUUCUAAUGUGUGUAAUUCCUCCAGGUUAUGGUGAAUAAACGAACGCGCAGAAGGCCUCUUUAAAGAGGUUCUUCAACAGGUCCCAACACCACCUUUUUCACCACCUACUACGUGUUUAACAAUCAGGAAGAGACAGUGUGCACAUUGGAGUUCGUUCAGAGGCGGUUCAUUGGCAUUAACCCUGAAAGAGGAACCAACUAAUGGACUCCUGUCGAAGUGUUUUGUUCCCUGGUCCUGAAAGCAUGCUGUCCUACAUUUUCUAAGUUUCCCUGCUUCAGCACAAUGGAUUGCAGUUAUUUGGCAGAUUAAUGGUCUCCUGUUGAAUCACAAUGGUCUGAAUAGGGUUCAGACCAAAGUUAUGUAGGACAAUGUGCCAUUAGGCUCUGAAGACAGAAGUCUGUCACUCAAUUGCACCUUUAAGAAGGACACAAGAAGAUGAAACAAAAAUCCUGCCUUACUUUGUAUGUUUAUUUGUGAUAUAGAAUUUGGUGGAAAUGUAAAAGAUUUAUGAAUAAAUA